rnacentral:misc_RNA from 1 species
UAGUCUAAAGCAAUCGCCUCCUUGGAAAUAAGCAAAUUUCCUGGCUCAUCGAUGUCUGGUUGGCAGAGACACAACACGUCAAGUCCUCGUCUAUAGUUAUUUUUGUGUGUGGCUCCGCGUUCACGGGAGUCCGUCGAGAAUAAUGGACUGUGUGUGUGUAUGUCGCCUGGCGUCGGGGAGGCGCCAUGGGUUUUCGCGGAUCACGCAAUCGGUCCUCGUUGCCUCAAAUACACGCCGCACCGUCUGUCUCAUGUUUUCGUUCACUGGCACGGUACUUUUAAAACCCUAUGCUCUCGACGGUUUUUUCUUGUUCUCGAACGCAAAUCACUAUGCCGACACGGUCGCUGCUGUCGCCCCGCGCUCGACAGGACCCGGAUUGAUGAUUAAUCCAUCGGGCCCGUCGUACGUGCUGGGGUCGGUGGCAGAGGCCGGCGAAGGUGUCAGAUUUGCGAAGGGUGUGUGUCAUGCGAACGCGACGGUGCCMCGAGUCAAACGAAACUUUUUU